GGGCAUCAGGAAGAAAGCUUGCUUUCUUUGCUGGCGACCGGCGCACGGGUGAGUAACACGUAUCCAACCUGCCCUUUACUCGGGGAUAGCCUUUCGAAAGAAAGAUUAAUACCCGAUAGCAUAAUGAUUCCGCAUGGUUUCAUUAUUAAAGGAUUCCGGUAAAGGAUGGGGAUGCGUUCCAUUAGGUUGUUGGUGAGGUAACGGCUCACCAAGCCUUCGAUGGAUAGGGGUUCUGAGAGGAAGGUCCCCCACAUUGGAACUGAGACACGGUCCAAACUCCUACGGGAGGCAGCAGUGAGGAAUAUUGGUCAAUGGGCGCUAGCCUGAACCAGCCAAGUAGCGUGAAGGAUGAAGGCUCUAUGGGUCGUAAACUUCUUUUAUAUAAGAAUAAAGUGCAGUAUGUAUACUGUUUUGUAUGUAUUAUAUGAAUAAGGAUCGGCUAACUCCGUGCCAGCAGCCGCGGUAAUACGGAGGAUCCGAGCGUUAUCCGGAUUUAUUGGGUUUAAAGGGAGCGUAGGUGGACUGGUAAGUCAGUUGUGAAAGUUUGCGGCUCAACCGUAAAAUUGCAGUUGAUACUGUCAGUCUCGAGUACAGUAGAGGUGGGCGGAAUUCGUGGUGUAGCGGUGAAAUGCUUAGAUAUCACGAAGAAC
rnacentral:rRNA from 1 species